GGUUUUGUAGUGUAGCGGUUAGCACCCAGGAUUCUGAUAUUUCGGAUCUUCCUGUAACCCCGGUUCGAAUCCGGGCAAGACCU
rfam:Schizopora paradoxa strain KTC8140 unplaced genomic scaffold SCHPAscaffold_00001, whole genome shotgun sequence.